rnacentral:rRNA from 1 species
CUUGACACAUGCUAAUCGAACGACUAAUUAGUUUAAUUAUUAUUUAAUAAUAAGUAGUAGUGGUGUACAGGUGAGUAUAUGAUAAAUUGGCUACCUUAAACUAAGGGCAAAAUCCCUUAUAAUAAAAAAAAGGUAAUUAAAAAUUCCGGUUUAAGAUGUAAAUUUUUAUCUCGGUGGAGUAGUGGGAGAGGUAAUGAAUUUUUCUAGCAGUAACCGUAGUCGUAACUGGAAAGUUGAUCGACCACAUUGGGUCUGAAAAAAACCCAAUGCUUUUAUGUACAGCAGUGAGGGAUAUUGGUCAAUGGCCGCAAGGCUGAACCAGUAACUUGGAAGAAUGUAACUGUAUUUGUAUAAAUACAAUAGCGAUUAAUUCGCAUAAAAUUCUAAAUAGAUUGUAUAUAAUGACAUAAUCUAUUUAUAAGUCUUGACCAAACUACGUUGCCAGCAGUCGCGGUAAUACGUAGAAGGCUAGUGUUAGUUAUCUUUAUUGGGUUUAAAGGGUAUGUAGACGGUAAAUUAAACUUUAAAAAAGUACUUUUUUACUAGAGUUAUAUGUGAGAAGGAAGAAUUCUUGGAGUAGAGAUAGAAUUUGUUGAUACCAAGAGGACUGUCAACGGCGAAGGCGUCNUUCUAUGUAAUAACUGACGUUGAGAGACGAAGGCUUGGGUAGCAAACAGGAUUAGAUACCCUAAUAGUCCAAGCAGACAAUGAUGAAUGUCAUACAUUAGAUAAUUUUAAUGUAUAAACGAAAGUGUAAGCAUUCCACCUCAAGAGUACUAUGGCAACAUAUAAACUGAAAUCAUUAGACCGUUUCUGAAACCAGUAGUGAAGUAUGUUAUUUAAUUCGAUGAUCCGCGAAAAACCUUACCACAGCUUGUAUAGCAGUUAUAAAAAAUUGUUACAAGCGCUGCAUGGCUGUCUUUAGUUAAUGUCGUGANAUCUGGUUAACUCCUUUAAUUAACGAAAACCCUCACUUUAUUUAUAUGUAUAAAGUGGUUCGCUACUACAUUGGACUUGAUAAUAGGGAUUAAGACAAGUCAUUAUGGCCUAAAUGCUGUGGGCUAUAGACGUGCCACAUACGCCUUUACAAAGGGAUGCUAUAUUGUGAAAUGGAGCUAAUCCCCCAAAAAGGAAAUAUUAUGGAUUGUAGUCUGUAACUCCACUACAUGAAAAAGGAAUUACUAGUAAUCGUGAAUCACCAUCGUCACGGUGAAUUUUUUCUCAGUUAGGUACUAACUACUCGUCAGGCGCUGAAAGAAAAAAAUGCAGUAAGUUUGACUUCUUCUGUAUUUUAUUAUAUAUAAAUAGGUNUAUAAAAAUACAGGAAAGUUUUCGUAUGCAAAACUUUGAUUGGUGUUAAGUC